AGAUUUCUUGUUCUUCACGACGUGGGGAUUUCACAAACAGGAAAAACUGCUUUUACUUUUCCUAAAGAGGAACUGUUUAUGCCUCAUGAUGCAUUGAUGCCUGGAACUGGGCUUGCUUUAAAGUAGAGCGGAAAUGUAAGAAAUGCUCUUAGCAUAGGACAAGCAGAGUGCCGCCCAUUUGCAGUGCUGGGAAUUUAAGUUUAUGCACAACUAUGACAGAACCCUGCAUCCACUGGAAUCGAGAUCUAGGAACCUUGAAGAAAAAAAUGGCUCUGCUGUGCACUUUUAACCUUGCUGGUGUGAAUCCU
rnacentral:lncRNA from 1 species